rnacentral:rRNA from 1 species
CGGUAAUUCCAGCUCCAAUAGCGUAUACUAAAGUUGUUGCAGUUAAAAAGCUCGUAGUUGGAUUUCUGCGGGGACGGAGCGGCCGGACGCAACUUGCGUCUCGAGCUAGCGCUUUCCCCACAUCCUGCCGCGAACCGUGCUACCAUUAGUUUGGUGGCGCUGGGGAUCGGCUCGAUUACUUUGAGAAAAAUAGAGUGUUCAAAGCAGGCCACACGCCUUGAAUAAGUUAGCAUGGAAUAAUGACUAAGGACUUUGGUUCUUUUCGUUGGUGUUCGGGACUGAAGUAAUGAUUGAUAGGGACAGUUGGGGCGGUCCGUAUUCCAAAGCGAGAGGUGAAAUUCUUAGACCUUCGGAAGACGAACAGCUGCGAAAGCGUUCCGCAAGGAUGUUCCCUUUGAUCAAGAACGAAAGUUGGGGGAUCGAAGACGAUCAGAUACCGUCGUAGUCUCAACUAUAAACUAUACCAGCUAGGGAUCGGCCAACGUUUAAUUAUUCGACUUGGUCGGCACCUUAUGAGAAAUCAAGGCAUCUGGGUUCCGGGGGGAGUAUGGUCGCAAGGCUGAAACUUAAAGGAAUUGACGGAAGGGCACCACCAGGCGUGGAGCCUGUGGCUUAAUUUGACUCAACACGGGAAAACUUACCAGGUCCAGACAUAGGAAGGAUUGACAGAUUGAUAGCUCUUUCUUGAUUCUGUGGGUGGUGGUGCAUGGCCGUUUUUAGUCGGUGAAGUGAUUUGUCUGCUUAAUUGCGUUAACGGACGAGACCCCAGCCUGCUAAAUAGCGCGGUCGAGCUUUGCUCGGCACGAGCUUCUUAGAGGGACCAUGAUGCGCGAUAGCACAAGGAAGUUUGGGGCAACAACAGGUCUGUGAUGCCCUUAGAUGUUCUGGGCCGCACACGGGCUACACUGGCGCCUGCAACGAGCAUAUCAGCUGGCCCGAGAGGGUCUUGGCUAAUCUUUGGAACCGGCGCCGUGCUUGGGAUUGACCAUUGCAAUUGUUGGUCAUGCAACGAGGAAUGCCUUGUAAACGCGAGUCAUCAGCUCGCAUUGAAUACGUCCCUGCCCUUUGUACACACCGCCC